rnacentral:rRNA from 1 species
UACGGGGGGGGCAAGCGUUGUUCGGAAUUACUGGGCGUAAAGGGCGCGUAGGCGGUUGGAUAAGUCAGCUGUGAAAACCACGGGCUUAACUCGUGGCCUGCAGUUGAGACUGUCUGGCUUGAGUGUGGGAGAGGAGAGUGGAAUUCCUGGUGUAGCGGUGAAAUGCGUAGAUAUCAGGAGGAACACCGGUGGCGAAGGCGGCUCUCUGGACCACAACUGACGCUGAGGCGCGAAAGCUAGGGGAGCAAACGG